rnacentral:piRNA from 1 species
UGAGCAAAAGAGUCUUUUGCAGUAGAUGC